rnacentral:rRNA from 2 species
GGGUUGUGAGGUUAAGCGACUAAGCGUACACGGUGGAUGCCCUGGCAGUCAGAGGCGAUGAAGGGCGUGCUAAUCUGCGAUAAGCGCCGGUAAGGUGAUAUGAACCGUUAUAACCGGCGAUACCCGAAUGGGGAAACCCAGUGUGAUUCGUCACACUAUCAUUAACUGAAUCCAUAGGUUAAUGAGGCGAACCGGGGGAACUGAAACAUCUAAGUACCCCGAGGAAAAGAAAUCAACCGAGAUUCCCCCAGUAGCGGCGAGCGAACGGGGAGGAGCCCAGAGCCUGAAUCAGCAUGUGUGUUAGUGGAAGCGUCUGGAAAGGCGCGCGAUACAGGGUGACAGCCCCGUACACAAAAGCGCAUGUGCUGUGAGCUCGAUGAGUAGGGCGGGACACGUGGUAUCCUGUCUGAAUAUGGGGGGACCAUCCUCCAAGGCUAAAUACUCCUGACUGACCGAUAGUGAACCAGUACCGUGAGGGAAAGGCGAAAAGAACCCCGGCGAGGGGAGUGAAAAAGAACCUGAAACCGUGUACGUACAAGCAGUGGGAGCACCCUUCGGGGUGUGACUGCGUACCUUUUGUAUAAUGGGUCAGCGACUUAUAUUCUGUAGCAAGGUUAACCGUAUAGGGGAGCCGGAGGGAAACCGAGUCUUAAUUGGGCGUUAAGUUGCAGGGUAUAGACCCGAAACCCGGUGAUCUAGCCAUGGGCAGGUUGAAGGUUGGGUAACACUAACUGGAGGACCGAACCGACUAAUGUUGAAAAAUUAGCGGAUGACCUGUGGCUGGGGGUGAAAGGCCAAUCAAACCGGGAGAUAGCUGGUUCUCCCCGAAAGCUAUUUAGGUAGCGCCUCGUGAAUUCAUCUCCGGGGGUAGAGCACUGUUUCGGCUAGGGGGCCAUCCCGGCUUACCAACCCGAUGCAAACUGCGAAUACCGGAGAAUGUUAUCACGGGAGACACACGGCGGGUGCUAACGUCCGUCGUGAAGAGGGAAACAACCCAGACCGCCAGCUAAGGUCCCAAAGUCAUGGUUAAGUGGGAAACGAUGUGGGAAGGCCCAGACAGCCAGGAUGUUGGCUUAGAAGCAGCCAUCAUUUAAAGAAAGCGUAAUAGCUCACUGGUCGAGUCGGCCUGCGCGGAAGAUGUAACGGGGCUAAACCAUGCACCGAAGCUGCGGCAGCGAACGUAUCACCCAAGACAACUUUACGGAGUUGACGAUUGACGGAGCGAAGCGACGUCAAAGCGUUCAUUAAAGUCGAGUUGGCUUAGGGAUACGUUCGUUGGGUAGGGGAGCGUUCUGUAAGCCUGUGAAGGUGUGUCGUGAGGCAUGCUGGAGGUAUCAGAAGUGCGAAUGCUGACAUAAGUAACGAUAAAGCGGGUGAAAAGCCCGCUCGCCGGAAGACCAAGGGUUCCUGUCCAACGUUAAUCGGGGCAGGGUGAGUCGACCCCUAAGGCGAGGCCGAAAGGCGUAGUCGAUGGGAAACGGGUUAAUAUUCCCGUACUUGGUGUUACUGCGAAGGGGGGACGGAGAAGGCUAUGUUGGCCGGGCGACGGUUGUCCCGGUUUAAGCGUGUAGGUGUGUGUUCCAGGUAAAUCCGGUUCACUUUAACACUGAGGCGUGACGACGAGGCACUACGGUGCUGAAGCAACAAAUGCCCUGCUUCCAGGAAAAGCCUCUAAGCAUCAGGUAACAUCAAAUCGUACCCCAAACCGACACAGGUGGUCAGGUAGAGAAUACCAAGGCGCUUGAGAGAACUCGGGUGAAGGAACUAGGCAAAAUGGUGCCGUAACUUCGGGAGAAGGCACGCUGACACGUAGGUGAAGUGAUUUACUCAUGGAGCUGAAGUCAGUCGAAGAUACCAGCUGGCUGCAACUGUUUAUUAAAAACACAGCACUGUGCAAACACGAAAGUGGACGUAUACGGUGUGACGCCUGCCCGGUGCCGGAAGGUUAAUUGAUGGGGUCAGCGCAAGCGAAGCUCCUGAUCGAAGCCCCGGUAAACGGCGGCCGUAACUAUAACGGUCCUAAGGUAGCGAAAUUCCUUGUCGGGUAAGUUCCGACCUGCACGAAUGGCGUAAUGAUGGCCAGGCUGUCUCCACCCGAGACUCAGUGAAAUUGAACUCGCUGUGAAGAUGCAGUGUACCCGCGGCAAGACGGAAAGACCCCGUGAACCUUUACUAUAGCUUGACACUGAACAUUGAGCCUUGAUGUGUAGGAUAGGUGGGAGGCUUUGAAGUGUGGACGCCAGUCUGCAUGGAGCCGACCUUGAAAUACCACCCUUUAAUGUUUGAUGUUCUAACGUGGACCCGUUACCCGGGUUGCGGACAGUGUCUGGUGGGUAGUUUGACUGGGGCGGUCUCCUCCUAAAGAGUAACGGAGGAGCACGAAGGUUGGCUAAUCCUGGUCGGACAUCAGGAGGUUAGUGCAAUGGCAUAAGCCAGCUUGACUGCGAGCGUGACGGCGCGAGCAGGUGCGAAAGCAGGUCAUAGUGAUCCGGUGGUUCUGAAUGGAAGGGCCAUCGCUCAACGGAUAAAAGGUACUCCGGGGAUAACAGGCUGAUACCGCCCAAGAGUUCAUAUCGACGGCGGUGUUUGGCACCUCGAUGUCGGCUCAUCACAUCCUGGGGCUGAAGUAGGUCCCAAGGGUAUGGCUGUUCGCCAUUUAAAGUGGUACGCGAGCUGGGUUUAGAACGUCGUGAGACAGUUCGGUCCCUAUCUGCCGUGGGCGCUGGAGAACUGAGGGGGGCUGCUCCUAGUACGAGAGGACCGGAGUGGACGCAUCACUGGUGUUCGGGUUGUCAUGCCAAUGGCACUGCCCGGUAGCUAAAUGCGGAAGAGAUAAGUGCUGAAAGCAUCUAAGCACGAAACUUGCCCCGAGAUGAGUUCUCCCUGAGACUUAGAGUCUCCUGAAGGAACGUUGAAGACGACGACGUUGAUAGGCCGGGUGUGUAAGCGCAGCGAUGCGUUGAGCUAACCGGUACUAAUGAACCGUGAGGCUUAACCUUACAACGCCGAAG